rnacentral:sRNA from 1 species
ACACAGGGAAGGAGGUGGUCUGGUAGUGAGUUUUCAUCGGACAUGUGAGGUGACCACCCGCUAGCUGCUGACCGCGUGGCAUUCGUGUCGCCGAGGCGGCGGAACCGACCCCAGUGAGAACUGCGGUCACCGCCGGCAGCGAGCGAAUACCAGGUGGUCACCCGGCCCCCGCAUCCCGACCCGGUCCGGUCGGCUCCGGUGCUCUGCGAGCACGGUGCGGGGGUCGUUCCAU